GCUCUCGCUUCAGCAGCACAUAUACUAAAAUUGGAACGACACAGAGGAGAUUAGCAUGGCCCCCGCGCAAGGAUGACACACAAAUUCAUGAAGAG
rnacentral:snRNA from 1 species